rnacentral:rRNA from 1 species
GAUGAACGCUGGCGGCGUGCCUAAUACAUGCAAGCCGAGCGAACAGACGAGGAGCUUGCUCCUCUGACGUUAGCGGCGGACGGGUGAGUAACACGUGGAUAACCUACCUAUAAGACUGGGAUAACUUCGGGAAACCGGAGCUAAUACCGGAUAACAUGUUGAACCGCAUGGUUCAACAGUGAAAGACGGUCUUGCUGUCACUUAUAGAUGGAUCCGCGCCGCAUUAGCUAGUUGGUAAGGUAACGGCUUACCAAGGCAACGAUGCGUAGCCGACCUGAGAGGGUGAUCGGCCACACUGGAACUGAGACACGGUCCAGACUCCUACGGGAGGCAGCAGUAGGGAAUCUUCCGCAAUGGGCGAAAGCCUGACGGAGCAACGCCGCGUGAGUGAAGAAGGUCUUCGGAUCGUAAAACUCUGUUAUUAGGGAAGAACAAAUGUGUAAGUAACUAUGCACGUCUUGACGGUACCUAAUCAGAAAGCCACGGCUAACUACGUG